rnacentral:tRNA from 1 species
GGAGAAGUACCCAAGUGGUCGUAAGGGGAUGCACUCGAAAUGCAUUAGGGGUUAACGCCCGCGUGGGUUCGAAUCCCACCUUCUCCGCCA